GGAGGUGGCUGUGGCUCAGUAGCACAGGGUCUGUUCAGCAUGCAGAUGGUCCCAGGUUCAAUUCCCGGCAUCUCCG
rnacentral:tRNA from 1 species